rnacentral:tRNA from 1 species
GGUGGUAGAGCGCGUGCUUAGCAUGCAUGAGGUUCUGGGUUCAAUCCCCAGUACCUCCA